rnacentral:rRNA from 1 species
AUGCACGCUGGCGGCGUGCCUAAUCCCUGCCAGUCGAGCGAACAGACGAGGAGCUUGCUCCUCUGACGUUAGCGGCGGACGGGUGAGUAACACGUGGAUAACCUACCUAUAAGACUGGGAUAACUUCGGGAAACCGGAGCUAAUACCGGAUAAUAUAUUGAACCGCAUGGUUCAAUAGUGAAAGACGGUUUUGCUGUCACUUAUAGAUGGAUCCGCGCCGCAUUAGCUAGUUGGUAAGGUAACGGCUUACCAAGGCAACGAUGCGUAGCCGACCUGAGAGGGUGAUCGGCCACACUGGAACUGAGACACGGUCCAGACUCCUACGGGAGGCAGCAGUAGGGAAUCUUCCGCAAUGGGCGAAAGCCUGACGGAGCAACGCCGCGUGAGUGAUGAAGGUCUUCGGAUCGUAAAACUCUGUUAUUAGGGAAGAACAAAUGUGUAAGUAGCUAUGCACGUCUUGACGGUACCUAAUCAGAAAGCCACGGCUAACUACGUG